CCUGGCAGCGGGUAUCAUUCAGGCUAUAUACAACUUUUAGAUGCCUCUUAAGUUUCAAAAGAAGCUGCAAUGCAAUUGCCCAAAGACAAUUAACCUGGAUUUUCUCCACAUCAUCAUUCGAGAUGCUGAAAGAAUUAGCUGAGCUCUUAUCCAUCUUUGGUUCUCUAGAGGCAAUAGAGCUCAAGACCAAAUGAGGUUCUUCCUGAAC
rnacentral:misc_RNA from 1 species